AUGCCACACUCUGCCAACACGCAAGGGCACUCUGCUGCGGCAGCCACUCCUGCGAGCUCUACUCCACCAGUCGCGCCCGCUCGCGCUAUGCCCGCCGGCCGCGCCGGCGCCUUGAUCUGCCAGGCAGCUCCGCCGGCGCUACCUCCUCUGGCCGGCACGCGCCGCUUUGCCAAGGAGAAGGAGGGCACGAGUAGAUCAGUGGACGACCUUGAUCCGUCCUCUACCACGUCGUUGCUCCAUUGCUGCUUUGAUCUACAGCCGCCGCCGCCCACGGAAGAGAGAUCUGGAAAGGGAAGGGUGAAAGGAUAUGAGGGGUCGGUGUCUUUUGACCGGGGAGGGGGGCGAAGAAAACGAUUCGGACGGAGGGAUGGCUACAUCCGCCACUUUUUCACGGACACGCGGAGCCGAGAUUUUCAAGAAUAUUCCACGAAUCUGGCUGCCCGUAUCCCUCCUUGUCCACGAAGCAAACACCUGAUAUCCUGA
rnacentral:rRNA from 1 species